CCUACGGGAGGCAGCAGUGGGGAAUAUUGCACAAUGGGGGAAACCCUGAUGCAGCGACGCCGCGUGAGCGAGGAAGUAUUUCGGUAUGUAAAGCUCUAUCAGCAGGGACGAAAAAAGACGGUACCUGACUAAGAAGCCCCGGCUAACUACGUGCCAGCAGCCGCGGUAAUACGUAGGGGGCAAGCGUUAUCCGGAUUUACUGGGUGUAAAGGGCGUGUAGCCGGGCUGACAAGUCAGAUGUGAAAUCCGGGGGCUCAACCCCCGAACUGCAUUUGAAACUGUUGGUCUUGAGUAUCGGAGAGGCAGGCGGAAUUCCUAGGGUAGCGGUGAAAUGCGUAGAUAUUAGGAGGAACACCAGUGGCGAAGGCGGCCUGCUGGACGACAACUGACGGUGAGGCGCGAAAGCGUGGGGAGCAAACAGGAUUAGAUACCCGGGUAGUC
rnacentral:rRNA from 1 species